GAACUAAACAAGGUCUAACACUUAAAGCCCUAGAUCUUCUCUCUCUCAAUCCCGGCCCCCUCUCUCUCUCCUGUCUCCAAUAUGCAUGGCACGGGAGGAGGAAAAGAAAAUAUUUUGCUGUGCAUGACAAGAUGUUUGGAUUGGGGGAGGUCAGGGUUUUGAUCAUAGUUCCUCGUGAUAUGUCAAGGAAGAUCUUGUGGACCAUGCACAUCGAUCACACAUGCAUGCAUGCAGUGCAGCAGCACAAGGCUGGCUUGCAAUGCUGUAGCUGCCAGCAGCAACAGCAAGGCCUGCAGCCAUGCACUGAUGCCAUGGAAAGACACAUCACUGAUGAAUCUUUGUGAAUGAAGCAGCUCAAAACCGCUAAACCAAACAAGGGUCCGGGCCUGCUCGUCCUCUGUGUUUCAGUGUCCCCUCUAGUGUUUGUUCUCUACUUUCUUUUGUCUCUAGCUGUCUCUGAAAAAAAGUUUUGCAUUGCAGUAGUGCUCACUGCUGGGCUACCUCACUUGGCAGGCCACCACAAGCUUAUAAUGGCAGUAGGAACAGCCUUCUAUCAGGCAUCAGGCUCAGCGAGGAGGGUAUCUUCCUGUUCAUGUCCUGCCUCUUUUUACUGUUUUUGUAUGCUUCUUUGGUAGGCUAGGGGUAGGAUACUACUUCCACUACACAUAAAGCUAUAGUGCUGUUGGUCGUAGUACAUGGCCACUGCAUAAGUGCAUAUGCAUGCAUGCACGUCUCUGGAAAAAAGCCAGUAAACUGGCAUGCAUGUAAAAAGCAUAUGCACGCACACGUAUGUGCUCAACGGCUAUAAUUAACUCUGCAGCUCGAUCCUAUAUAAAAUCAUUUUUGUAGCUCUGAAGCCAGUUUGCCUCCUGGCUUGCAGACCAAGAGACAAGACAGGCCUCAAUGACUGAGUAAUCUCAAUCAAGCCGCAUGAAUCAGAAGAUGCAGUUACUAGCUAAGUAUAUCAUCAACAGUACGUAGCAAAUUAAAGGAGUUCAGAAUUGACCAGGACAGGAAUAACCUGUGAAGUUAUUCCUAACAGAAACGAACCAGGCAAUGCAGUUAAUAUAUGUGCUCAGUAGCAGCAAGGUAGUUAAGAGAUGGCAAGGUCAGGAAUCACCUUUGCCGUUAUCUUGUCCAGCUCCAGGAGCAGAGGAGCCUAAAAAAUGUUCAAGCUUCCAUCAGGCUCCUGUUAUUCCAAGUACCUGAACAAGGAUACCCCCAAUUCAGUUCAAUCUGUAGCAGCUCUUGAUUCUUUCCCUCUCUGCAUUAGCCUACACCACAAAGAAAAUAGGAGCUGUCUGCUCACUGUUCUUCAGCUACAGUGCUGUUCCUGGAUUGAGUGUUUUUUCCACUGCCUAUAUAUAGUACAAGACAUAGCAGCAUAUCUAGUCUGAAUCCCUGGCUGAUGGACCCAAGAGAGAAUCCACACAGCAAGCUUUCCUUUAUAAAAAGAACCACAUCACAGUUCACAGACAUCUCACUCAUCCCCGUCAAGGCAAAGUGCUGAAUGCCUGAAUCCAUCCACCUGCAUAUUUAUAUAAUACCAGGACUAAGGCCUUGUUUAGUUCCAAAAAAUUUUGCAAAACAGGUACUGUAGUAUUUUCGUUUGUAUUUGACAAAUAUUUUCCAAUCAUGCACUAACUAGGCUCAAAAGAUUCGUCUCGUCAAUUUCGACCAAACUGUGCAAUUAGUUUUUAUUUUCGUCUAUAUUUGAUACUCCAUAUAUGCGUCUAAAGAUUCGAUGUGACGGAGAAUGUGAAAAAAUUUGCAAAAUUUUCUGGGAAGUAAACAAGGCCUAA
rnacentral:lncRNA from 1 species